ACGUAGGNAUGGGCGCAGCCUGAUCCAGCCAUACCGCGUGGGUGAAGAAGGCCUUCGGUCNNGUAAAGCCCUUUNGUUGGGAAAGAAAUCCAGCCGGCUAAUUCCUGGUUGGGAUGACGGUACCCAAAGAAUAAGCACCGGCUAACUUCGUGCCAGCAGCCGCGGUAAUACGAAGGGUGCAAGCGUUACUCGGAAUUACUGGGCGUAAAGCGUGCGUAGGUGGUUAUUUAAGUCCGUUGUGAAAGCCCUGGGCUCAACCUGGGAACUGCAGUGGAUACUGGAUGACUAGAAUGUGGUAGAGGGUAGCGGAAUUCCUGGUGUAGCAGUGAAAUGCGUAGAGAUCAGGAGGAACAUCCAUGGCGAAGGCAGCUACCUGGACCAACAUUGACACUGAGGCACGAAAGCGUGGGGAGCAAACAGGAUUAGAUACCCUGGNAGUCCACGCCCUAAACGAUGCGAACUGGAUGUUGGGUGCAAUUUGGCACGCAGUAUCNAAGCUAACGCGUUAAGUUCGCCGCCU
rnacentral:rRNA from 1 species